AGCGGGUGAGCGGGUCCGUUUCAAGGCUGCUUUGGAAGAAGCCGUCACCUCCGAUUCUCAAAGGAGCUUGAGGGUUUCGAGGAACCUGAGGGGAGAGUGGAAAGGCCUGGCAGCCGAGUCGUAGUUUCUAGGGACUGUUCUCUCCGCUUGAUCUGUUGUCCCAUCGUGGGGACUUGAAGAAGGACCCCUUAGCUUCCUCAGAUGGCGUCCACGCGCCCCACGUCAGAUGACCAGGGACCGUUGCUGUUUGAAGAUCUGGAUGUGUAUUUCUCUCAAGAGGAAUGUGUGAGUUUGCAGCCUGCCCAGAAGACCAACAGCGGAGAAGCCUCGUUGGAGCCUUUUGAGGAUUUGGACUCGACAGGAGGGGAAGACAAGAUUGAGACCAAUCAGCAGUUAAGCCUAGAGUCUAUGGAACUUGAAGAGCUGUCUCUAGAAACGUACUCCAUUGCCUCACCCCAUGGCCACUACUCUGAAAAAUCUGAGCAUGACGUUGGAAUGCAUGAAAGGAAGAUGUCAGGGGGAACUUUGACUUGUAAGACCAAGGUUAUAAGCCUCUUAGUUACCAUUGAAAACCAAACCCCAUUAGUAGAAUUAUCUCAGUGUUUAGGAGUCAAAACACUUUCUGAUAUUAUUGAAGUUCCCUGGGAAGAAGCCACAAAUGUGUACAAGUGUCCUGACUGUGACCAAAGCUUCAGUGAUAACACAUACCUUGUUUUGCAUCAGAAAAUCCAUUCAGGAGAGAAAAAGUAUAAAUGUAGUACCUGUGAGAAGACCUUCAGUCACAGAGCCAACCUGAGGACACAUAAGAGAAUCCACACUGGUGAGAAGCCUUACAAGUGUACCAAGUGUGCUGCCAGCUUCUGGCAGCAGUCACACCUGUCCCGGCACAUGAAGAGCCAUAUAAAGGAGAACCCGUAUACAUGUAAUGUAUGUGGGAGAGGUUUUAUGUGGCUCCCAGGAUUGGCGGAACAUCAGAAGAGUCAUACUGAUAAAAAAUCUUAUGAAUGUGCUGAACGUGAUGAACCAUACUGUCAGGAAACAAAUCUGGCUUUGCCUGAAAACACAGGCUCAUCAGACACCCCAUACCAGCACACCCAGUGUGAGAAGAGUUUGGAGCACCCCUCGUACCCUGCUCUCCCUGAGAAGGAUCAUAAGGAGGACUCUAAGAACUGCAGUAUUGAUGAUGAAGACUUUUUUUCAUUCUCCAGAUUCAAACCCUUACAGUGUCUUGAUUGUGACAUGACCUUUCCUUGUUUCUCAGAGCUUGUUUCUCAUCAAACCAUUCAUGACAUGGAAAAACCUCAUAAGUGUAAGACAUGUGGAAAAACCUUUGCUUUAGAUUCAGAACUUGCAUCCCAUGAGAAGCAGCACAUCAAAGAAGAACCCUUCAAAUGCACGGUGUGUGGGAAGAACUUCCGAGUGAAUCUGCAUCUCAUCACUCACAAACGAACCCACAGGAGAAACACCAAGUAAAUACAAGCUUUGCCACUGUGUGAGCUUCUCAGUGUCUUUAUGAUGGGAAACCGCUUAUGUACAGUGUUAUGCUAAGCAAGCACUUUACACACAUUCCAGACCUGAUGGCAGGGGCAAGCCCUGACUUCUCUAGCAGUUAAACUUCGUGGGAGUACUUGCUCCUCUCUGAAAGGAUUUGCCUCUAGAUCUCCACUGAAGCACAUCCUGGCUGGCUAUGAGUAAUUAGAACUACUUUUUGAAGAGAACAUGCUAAAUAGUAUGGAUAUAUUAUUUUAUUUAAUCUUCAACAGAUUCUGAGAGAAAAGGACUGUCCAUGUUUUACAAAUAAAUGGAAGCUUUCAGAAGGUAAAGUCAAUGCUUUGCUAAGCACACAAAACGUCACACUGGUGAGGCUGACAUCGAAAUUCAGGUGCUUUCUAACUCCCAAGGCCACACAUUUUGUGACACUGCACUAUCUGUUGGUAUUUGUGCCACAGGUUAACACUAGGAGACAGGGAUGCUGGGGAGGGAGGGGAACUGCAGGCAUGGAGGCUGCCCUGGGACUUACUACCUGAAGCCCAUUAUGUCCGUAUUCUUAUCCAAAACUAGAUUUCGUUGCUCUUAAAAAGCAACAGAAGACUCUCUACGGCUUUAUGCUUGAAAUUCUUGUCACUGUAUCAAACCAGAGAUUUGUUUUUUUCCCCAUUUUGAGACGGGGUUUCUGUGUAUAGCCCUGCUUGUCCUGGAACUCCCUCUGUUCACCAGGCUAGCCUCGAACUCAAGAGAUCUGCCUGCCUCUGACUCCUGAGUGCUGGAAGGUGUAUGACACCACGAAGUGGCUAGAGACUAUUAAAUUGUAACAUUUCCUGUCCACUUCCAAAGAAAAAUACAAUAGGAUUAUUGAGUUUUUAACCAAAAUAACUGAUAACACAUAUGUCUUUAGGUACUAGUAUCACAGAUAAAUAUUAGAGCAAAAUAUUGUCAUAUAGUGUGGUUAUUAAAAGAACCAAAGAAUGUUGUGAGUAUACAUUCUUACAGAACUACACUUUACAACAAAAUUGAUUAUAUACCUAUCAUUAAAACUAUAUGGUCUUUUGGCUGAUAUGCAUUUAUGAUUGAUUUCAUUCUGUCUAAAUAGACCGUAAAAAUGUGGUAUUUACUAAAAUGGAAUUACUGCUAGGAAAUUUCAUGCACAAAAAUAAAGCCCUCUUGAGGGUCAGUGGCUAAAAUGUAGUACCUGGGACUCGUCUCUUCUACAGAAGAGCAGGUUGAGGAUUUUAUGUACAAAAAGAUGCAGCUGCACAGCUAAGCGCUUCGUGUUUACUAGAGAUGGGAAGAUCACUGUUGCUGAGUGAGGAAACGGAACCAACAGCCUUGCCUCAUCUGUCGUCCCUUUCCUGGAGAUCACUAUUUCAGUUUAUCCACAGCUGAGACUGUGUGAUCUGUAUGUCAAGGCCAGACCUGGCUGUUUCUCCAAAUUUAGGAUAUAAACCAUCAUUCUGUCAGGAAGUUGGGGGGGUCUCACAUUUAAAAUAGCCUUCUGGUCUCUUCAGCCCUUCGUCGGAGAAGGUUCUCUUAAGUCUUAGCUAACUCUGGGAUGUGGUUGUUAUGAAACAGCCACAAGAGUGUCGGUUUCCCACUGUCUGUCUCUCAGCAGGGAAGCGGUGUGCUGCUGUGUAGGCUCUAAUAUUUCAGUGAAGACCUUGAGUUACAGGAUGGGGAAUGGAACUGGCAAAGAGGCCCUUACUAAAGAACAAACGAGAAUUGUGUCAGAAGGUACCCAGACAAAUGUGGCUGACCUAAAGAUGGAAGUUGUCACCCUCUUUCUUUGCUGCUAGGGAAACACAAGCAGGUGAGUCUGUGCUGAGGCGCUGCCGCACCUCUCCACGUGGAUUCACAUCACCUCUCAGUGUCUGCAGCUUUCUGCAUUCUCCAGACUUGGAAGAUUAGAAAAGAGACACUUUUAUAAAAGUCAUCACUAUAUGUGAGAGGAAUUAAAUGGCCUGUGGUAUAUUAUUGGUGACUGGUAUGCAGAGAAAAGGAAAACACAGUUACUGUGAAAUAGGCACAUUGUUAGUUGCUUCCUUAUUGUGUACUUGUUUCUAAAAACAUUAGUUGUAUGUUAUUCUCAAGCUGCUCUGCACCCAAGGAAUUGAAGGAAGAGCUGCAAUGGUAUUUCAGCUACUUUCAUGAUAAUGGCCUUUUCAUCGUCCUAACUGUAUUGCCCACUAGGAUAGAUCACAUAAGAAAUCUCUUAACCCAGGAUAACUUAUGUUAGGUGCUAAUAACAUAUUGGAAACCGUCAAUAUAGGGAUAAAAAUGGAAUGUAUGUGUAUUGCUGUGAAUAGUCGGCUAACUACAUGUAGGAGGGCUGUUGACACUCUGAAUGGUCUGCUAACUACAUGUAGGAGGGCUGUUGACACUCUGAAUGGUCUGCUAACUACAUGUAGGAGGGCUGUUGACACUCUGAAUGUCUGCUAACUACAUGUGUAGGAGGGGGGUGUUGACACUCUGAAGUGUGGAAAAAAUGAACUCAAACUUGGUGGGUUUUGCUGCUGUGAUGAUGUACAAGUGACUAAGACAGCUCUUUAGUAUGAUCUUUAAUAUGAUCUUUAAUAUGAUCUUUAGUAUGAUCUGUGCAUACCGAGUUGUGCUAAACUGUCAUCACUGAUGACAGCAGCAUUUCCCAGUGGAAGUUAGAUGCCAGUGUUUGCACUUUAUAUUGUGGUGUUGAAUCAUUUUGUCGAGAACUGUGCUGCUACAAAUAACAAUCUGUUCACGUGCCCUGCGACCCUGAAGAGAGCUGGCUUAGUAACUCAGGCAGUUAAAACAAAUGACAUUUUUGUCUUUGACGCCUCAAGUUCCAGAAAAUUAAGUAGUAGUAGCUGGAAAGAUGGCUGGGAGGUUAAGAGCACCGACUGCUCUUCAGAGGACCCAGGUUCAGUGCCCAAUACCCACAUGGCAGCUCAUAAGUGAUUGUAAAUCCAGUUCCUGGGUGACCUGACACCUUCACACCAUUGCACAUAAAGUUAAGUCAAUCAUAAAAAAUUCUUUAAAAAAAUUAAGUAGUAGUGUCUGGUGACUGUAAUGUAAGAUGCCAAACAAUCUGAAAAGAUACUUUGCUUUAAAUAAUCUGAUUUACUGUAUAUGUAUUCAAAGGGAGAUGUAGGGUAUAGCUUUUAUGAAAAAAAAAAAGAACCUAUUUUGAAUGUUGCAGUGAUUUCAUUAGGAAACUACUUUUGCUUUGACUAUUUGUUAAAAUGGAAAAUUGUUUAUUAGGUGUAUAUUUAACUGUUUUAGUCUUGUAUAUUAGAACUAUUUAUGUAAUAUAAAAUGACUAUUAUCUAUCUCUUUAAGGCUAACUACAGGUGUUUGUCUCUUUGAAUUGAGAUUCUUGUCUGUAAGAAUGGUCUAGGGAGAACGGGGAUACAACCUAAUUCAUUUAUAGAAACCUAAAAAUACUUUUCCCAUGUCUAUUUAUUUUGGUGACUAGUUAAUGCUCUCCAUAUGCGCUUUCUGUGUUUCUUUCAGCUUUACUGUUUCUAACACAUUCCCAUUGGUCUUAGCUCUAGAUUGGAGUCUCUCAACUGUGACUGUGUGCAUUUGAUGUGCAAAUUAUCAUCCAAUAAAUGUUAUCUUGUGAUGAUGGCAAGGUUGUAAACUUAAA